UAGUCUGGUGCCAGCAGCCGCGGUAAUUCCAGCUCCAAUAGCGUAUAUUAAAGUUGUUGCGGUUAAAAAGCUCGUAGUUGGAUUUCUUCUCUUGUCAGCCGGUCCUCACUUCGUGAGAGUAUCUGGUCAGAUUUGAGAAUCCUCUUGGGGAACGUCGCUGCGCUUGAUUGCGUGGCACGGUAUCCAAGACUUUUACUUUGAGGAAAUUGGAGUGUUCACGGCAGGCAUUCGCCUUGUACACAUUAGCAUGGAAUAAUAAUAUAGGAUCGCGAUUCUAUUUUGUUGGUUUCUAGAGUUGUGGUAAUGAUUAAUAGGGACAAUUGGGGGCAUUUGUAUUAACACGUCAGAGGUGGAAUUCUUGGAUUGUGUUACGACAAACUACUGCGAAAGCAUUUGCCAAGGAUGUUUUCAUUGAUCAAGAACGAAAGUAAGGGGAUCGAAGACGAUUAGAUACCGUCGUAGUCUUUACCAUAAACUAUGCCAACUAGAGAUUGGAGGUCGUUUCUUAUAUGACUCCUUCAGCACCUUAUGAGAAAUCAAAGUUUUUGGGUUCCGGGGGGAGUAUGGUCGCAAGGCUGAAACUUAAAGGAAUUGACGGAAGGGCACCACCAGGAGUGGAGCCUGCGGCUUAAUUUGACUCAACACGGGAAAACUCACUAGGUCCAGACAUAGGAAGGAUUGACAGAUUGAUGGCUCUUUCUUGAUUCUAUGGGUGGUGGUGCAUGGCCGUUCUU
rnacentral:rRNA from 1 species